rnacentral:rRNA from 1 species
GACGAACGCUGGCGGCGUGCCUAACACAUGCAAGUCGAACGAGGUCCAUCCUUCGGGAGAAGACCUAGUGGCGAACGGGUGAGUAACACGUGAGGAACCUGCCCCGAAGACCGGGAUAACCCUCCGAAAGGAGAGUUAAUACCGGAUACCCCCACCGAGCCGCAUGGUUUGGUGAGGAAAUGGAUUCCGCUUCGGGAGGGCCUCGCGGCCUAUCAGCUAGUUGGUGGGGUAACGGCCCACCAAGGCAUCGACGGGUAGCUGGUCUGAGAGGACGAUCAGCCACACUGGGACUGAGACACGGCCCAGACUCCUACGGGAGGCAGCAGUGGGGAAUCUUGCGCAAUGGGCGAAAGCCUGACGCAGCAACGCCGCGUGGGGGAUGAAGGCUCUCGGGUUGUAAACCCCUUUCAGCAGGGACGAAUCAAGACGGUACCUGCAGAAGAAGCCCCGGCUAACUACGUGCCAGCAGCCGCGGUAAUGUCAGUG